AUCCAGUUGAUGAGUCCCGAAUAGGACGAAAUGCGCGUCCUGGAU
rnacentral:hammerhead_ribozyme from 1 species